CGCGUAGGCGGCCUUGCGUGUCUUCCGUGAAAUCCCUCGGCUCAACUGAGGACGUGCGGAAGAAACUGCGAGGCUCGAGUCCGGGAGAGGAGGGUGGAAUUCCCAGUGUAGCGGUGAAAUGCGUAGAUAUUGGGAGGAACACCGGUGGCGAAGGCGGCCCUCUGGACCGGUACUGACGCUGAUGCGCGAAAGCGUGGGGAGCAAACG
rnacentral:rRNA from 1 species